UACGUAGGUGGCAAGCGUUGUCCGGAUUUAUUGGGCGUAAAGCGAGCGCAGGCGGUUCUUUAAGUCUGAUGUGAAAGCCCCCGGCUCAACCGGGGAGGGUCAUUGGAAACUGGAGAACUUGAGUGCAGAAGAGGAGAGUGGAAUUCCACGUGUAGCGGUGAAAUGCGUAGAUAUGUGGAGGAACACCAGUGGCGAAGGCGACUCUCUGGUCUGUAACUGACGCUGAGGCUCGAAAGCGUGGGGAGCAAAC
rnacentral:rRNA from 1 species